UGGUAUAUUUGAAGUAAUUGCGAAUGAAUUAAAACAUGUUUAAUCUGAUAAUUAAGGCUAUUAGCCUUGACAUGUAGUCUCAAACAGUAUUACCAAUAAGGGGGUGAAUGUAUGUUUCUUGGAACAGAGCAGCAAUAAAGGUGAUACUCCUGUUUGACAUUUAUUACUUCUUAUGCACCGUGUGCAUGUGUGGAAUCACAUUUUUUGGGAAUAAAAUGCAAAGUGGGUGGUAAGUUUCAUUAAAAAGUUUAAUAUAAACUUGAGACUGAUAGCGCACAAGUACCUUGAGGGAAAAAUGAAAAGGGCUUUGAAAAGAAAGUUAAAUGAGCUUCAACUUGCUGAAUGGAAAGCAACCAGAAAUCAUGCAUGAAUCAAAGAUUGUUGUUGUGAUGUGUACUGCUGACCUCAGGUGUAGUGAUACAUGUGCAGCAGUGCAUCUUUUUGUAUUGUUAACCCUGGCUCAUGAAUGUUCAUUGGCUGAUAUUGGGUUUGCCGUUUGGAUUAACACCGCUGCCUGCGUCAACUCAUGAGCAAGAUUGUUUGGUUGGUCAUUGAUUAGUUGUGAUGAUUGUUCACAUCUGUGAAAAGUUUCUGGCACAUCACAAAUGAUGUUGACAAAAUGAUUUUGAUUGAUCCCGUCUUGAACACACGGACCAAGGAGCCUAACAGGUGUGCGAGUGAUUUGGGAAACAAUUUUGCAUAAUAACUGUAUAAGUUUGCAGUACUUGCGACAACGCAGUCAACCAACUUACUGUAACAGGUUUGAGCUUGAGCGUUGCUGUUAAGACCCGAAAGAUGGUGAACUAUAUUUGAAAAGGGCAAGGUCAGGGGAAACUCUGAUGGAGGCGCACAGCGAUACUGACGUGCAAAUCGUUCGUUGUACUUCGGGUAUAGGGGCGAAAGACUCAUCGAACCAUCUAGUAGCUGGUUCCCUCCGAAGUUUCCCUCAGGAUAGCUGGAUGUGCAAAGUUUUAUCAGGUAAAGCGAAUGAUUAGGGGAAUUGGGGGUGUGCUAUUUCUAACCUAUGCUCAAACUUUAAAUAGGUAUGGUGCAACAUUUUCUUUUGUGAUUGUUGUUGGCAAAAUAAAAUUUCCAAGUGGGCCAUUUUUGGUAAGCAGAACUGGCGAUGAGGGAUGAACCUAACAUUGGGUUAACGUGCUCAGCUGUUUGCUUAUCUGAUACCAUAAAGGGUGUUGUUCCAUUUGAACAGCGGACGGUGGUCA
rnacentral:rRNA from 1 species